ACUCAAAGGAAUUGACGGGGGCCCGCACAAGCGGCGGAGCAUGCGGAUUAAUUCGAUGCAACGCGAAGAACCUUACCUGGGUUUGACAUACACCGGAAAGCCUCAGAGAUGGGGCCCCUUUUGUCGGUGUACAGGUGGUGCAUGGCUGUCGUCAGCUCGUGUCGUGAGAUGUUGGGUUAAGUCCCGCAACGAGCGCAACCCUCGUUCUAUGUUGCCAGCACGUAAUGGUGGGGACUCAUAGGAGACUGCCGGGGUCAACUCGGAGGAAGGUGGGGAUGACGUCAAGUCAUCAUGCCCCUUAUGUCCAGGGCUUCACGCAUGCUACAAUGGCCGGUACAAAGGGCUGCGAUCCCGUAAGGGGGAGCGAAUCCCAAAAAGCCGGUCUCAGUUCGGAUUGGGGUCUGCAACUCGACCCCAUGAAGUCGGAGUCGCUAGUAAUCGCAGAUCAGCAACGCUGCGGUGAAUACGUUCCCGGGCCUUGUACACACCGCCCGUCACGUCACGAAAGUCGGCAACACCCGAAGUCCGGUGGCCCAACCCGUAAGGGAGGGAGUCUGUCG
rnacentral:rRNA from 1 species